rnacentral:lncRNA from 1 species
UUGAGUAAUAGAAGAAAUGUAUUUCUCUAGAAUGUUCUCAAAAGCUCUCAAACCCUAGAUUAUUUUUCUUUGAUAUACACUUCAAUUUGAGUUUUUACAUGGUAUCAGAGCGGGGUUUUGGGAGACCUCAUCAUCAUCUUUCGAGCAGUGGUACUCUCGGCCUAUUUCGCCGGAGUUUCGUCGGUUUCUCUGUUCGCCGGUCGUUAGAUUCUUUUUUUGUUUUUUUGGUGGGAUUCAGAGUUCUCAUUUAAUUUUCUCCACUCAAUCGUCGUUUUGGUGGUGUUUUUGUUUACGGUUGGAGUUUCUUUGCUUACCUUCAGAACUAGGGUUUCUUCCGGUAACGUGAAGGGUAUUUCUCAUCAUUUGUUGCUGUGAGUUUUUGAUAAUUGAAGGUUGCGCUUCUUCCGGUUAUGAAGAAGUGUGGUAAACCUAUUUCACUCUCUAUAUUCUUCCAUGAUUGUGGAUUGAGUCAUUAUGAAAAACUUGCUCUUCUAUUGUUAGUAUUUACAUGUGUAGAUUUGAUUCAUGUAGAUGUUGAUAUUCGGAUAGUUGUCUUGGUAUUCUGGGUUAGCAGUUUUCCUGUUUCACUUAACUCUAAAAAUAGGAAGCUCUAGUGAUAGUGAUUAUAAAUUUACUUCUCAUUCUUCUAGUCCUCUAUUCAUUCACUCCUUUGACAUUCCUGGAAUGUCACUAGUUAGUAUUCUUUUUUGAUGGGUAUGGUUUUGGUGGAUGGAGAAAGAGCAUAAUUAUAUCAUUGUUUGCCAGAAAUAAAGUUUCAUCGAUUGUACAUGUCCUAACCAACUGAAAGAUCUCCCGAGUUCAAACAAUAGGAUAAGUCUAACAAUAUGGUUAUUUCUUGGCUAACAAGUUCUCUUUCUCCUGAAAUUGCUGAGAGUGUACAAUACUCUGAUACUACUGAAAGUAUAUGGAAGCAGUUAAAUCAUAGAUAUGGGACGGUAAAUGGGACACACAAAUUUUAAAUAAAGAAAGAAUUAUCUUCCACAUUCCAGGGACCUCUUGACAUAGCCUCGUACUUUAACAAAUUGAAAAAAACUUUGGGAUGAAAUGGAGAUCAUGGGCUCAAAUCAUUCUAAGAGUUGUACUUAUGCUGCAAAACCUGGUUCACUAAAGGAAGAUGAAGAGAAUAAAAUCCACCAUUUUUUAAUGGGUCUCAAUGAAAUAUACGUCAAUGUAAGAAGUAAUAUACUGAUGAUGAAUCCACUUCCUUCACUUGAUAGUGUAUACAAUAUUCUUUUGCAAGAUGAAAAGCAAAGACAAGUGAUUCCUAGUACUCAAUUUUCUCCUGAUCUGGCCUCCUUUAAUGUCAAUGCAACCAAUGAAUUUCCUCCACACAGAUAAUUCAAUCAGAAGGUUAAUUUUGAUACAAAUAACUAGGGUUCUCUUUUUUGUAAAUAUUGUAAGAAGAGUGGACAUACUAUUGAUAAAUUCUACAAAUUGAAUGGAUUUCCCCAACUUUUCAAGUUUACUAAGGGCAAAAAAUUUGAUACUGUUAUAAAUGAUGAGUCUUCAUCUUCUAGGAAUCCCGAAUUUGGUCCACUAUGUGCUUUCACUGGUCUGGAUUCUUUGUUGUCCUCUUACUAAGGAAAUAAUAUUUCUAGCUCAUGAAUCUACUACAGCAGUCCAACUGUCUUGCUUCCACUCCUCAGCCCAACCUUAUGGGUUCUGCCAACUUUGUUGGUAGUAAUCUCCCCACUCUGAGUUUAAUCAUGUUGCUUAUUCUGCUUGCAUGUUGACUAGCAUGGCAAAAUGUGUUUGGAUUAGACUCAGGAGCGACUAACCUCUGACCUUUGAUAAAGAACUUCUUAUUGAUAUCACACCUUUUUCUAUCCCUUAUUUUGUUACUUUGCCUAAUAGAUAUAAACUAAAGGUUACCUAUACAUGAUCACUCACUUUAUCUUCUACUUCUACUCUAUAUAAAGUACUUUACAUUCCUACUUUCAAUUACAACCUCAUUUACGUAUACAUAUUAAUUCAACAAUUUAACAGUGUAGUCAUUUUCACUUCUUCUUCCUAUUUGAUACAGGACCUUUGAGGAAGAAGCUUUUGGUACCUGGUAGAUUGGACCAAGGACUGUAUAAGCUUUAUCAUUUCCCUUCUUCAUGUUCUUCUACUUCUGCCUUAAACAAUGUGAUGCAAAAUUCUACUUCUGCUUUGAACAAUGUCGUGUAAAGUUUGGAUAAUUUUCCUAGUUCAGCCUUGAAUAAUGUUGCAAGUAGUGUGAAUGUUUUUCAUGUUCCUCUUUUUACCGACAUUGUACAACAAGUGAAUGACACUAUAUUUUCUUCUUCUGCUUCUUUGAAUAAACUUGAUGUACUUUGACAUCACAAAAUGG